rnacentral:rRNA from 1 species
GUUCGGAUUGCAGGCUGCAACUCGCCUGCAUGAAGCUGGAAUUGCUAGUAAUCGCGGAUCAGCAAGCCGCGGUGAAUACGUUCCCGGGCCUUGUACACACCGCCCGUCACACCAUGAGAGUCGGGAACACCCGAAGUCCGUAGUCUAACCGCAAGGGGGGCGCGGCCGAAGGUGGGUCCGGUAAUUGGGGUGAAGUCGUAACAAGGUAUC